UACGGGGGGGGUAAGCGUUGUUCGGAAUUACUGGGCGUAAAGGGCUCGUAGGCGGCCAACUAAGUCAGACGUGAAAUCCCUCAGCUUAACUGGGGAACUGCGUCUGAUACUGGAUGGCUUGGAUUUGGGAGAGGGAUGCGGAAUUCCAGGUGUAGCGGUGAAAUGCGUAGAUAUCUGGAGGAACACCGGUGGCGAAGGCGGCAUCCUGGACCGGUAUUGACGCUGAGGCGCGAAAGCUAGGGGAGCAAACGGG
rnacentral:rRNA from 1 species